CCCUUAGAUGUUCUGGGCUGCACACGUGCUACACUGGCAGGUUCAGCGAGCUCCAUGCCCUGAUCUGAAAGGAAUGGGAAAUCUUUUCAAAACCUGCCGUGCUUGGGAUAGAUGUUUGCAAUUAUUCAUCUUCAACGAGGAUUGCCUUGUAAGCGCACGUCAUCAGCGUGCAUUGAAUACGACCCUGUAUUCUGUACACACCGCCCGUCGCUCCUACCGAUUGAAGUUUUCGGUGAGUUGACAGGAGGAUUUUUUUGAAACUGGUUCGCCAGUGGAUUUUAGAUCCAAAUGCCAACGAAUCGAGGGCUUUAGAGGAAGGAGAAGUCGUAACA
rnacentral:rRNA from 1 species